CCUACUGGUGGCAUCAUUGAGGACUAUUGGUCAAUGGGCGAGAGCCUGAACCCUCCCCUGCGCUUUCCGUCUUCCUUCCCUCCUUUUUUUCACCUUCUUUUUUCAUUUAGCAAUUGGGUCCACGCGUGGGCUUAGCGAGAGUACCUGAAGAAAAAGCAUCGGCUAACUCCGUGCCAGCAGCCGCGGUAAUACGGAGGAUGCGAGCGUUAUCCGGAUUUAUUGGGUUUAAAGGGUGCGUAGGCGGAAUAUCAAGUCAGCGGUAAAAAUUCGGGGCUCAACCCCGUCGUGCCGUUGAAACUGAUGUUCUUGAGUGGGCGAGAAGUAUGCGGAAUGCGUGGUGUAGCGGUGAAAUGCAUAGAUAUCACGCAGAACUCCGAUUGCGAAGGCAGCAUACCGGCGCCCAACUGACGCUGAAGCACGAAAGCGUGGGUAUCGAACAGGAUUAGAUACCCCGGUAGUC
rnacentral:rRNA from 1 species